rnacentral:rRNA from 1 species
GAUGAACGCUGGCGGCGUGCCUAAUACAUGCAAGUCGAGCGAACAGACGAGGAGCUUGCUCCUCUGACGUUAGCGGCGGACGGGUGAGUAACACGUGGAUAACCCACCUAUAAGACUGGGAUAACUUCGGGAAACCGGAGCUAAUACCGGAUAAUAUAUUGAACCGCAUGGUUCAAUAGUGAAAGACGGUUUUGCUGUCACUUAUAGAUGGAUCCGCGCCGCAUUAGCUAGUUGGUAAGGUAACGGCUUACCAAGGCGACGAUGCGUAGCCGACCUGAGAGGGUGAUCGGCCACACUGGAACUGAGACACGGUCCAGACUCCUACGGGAGGCAGCAGUAGGGAAUCUUCCGCAAAGGGCGAAAGCCUGACGGAGCAACGCCGCGUGAGUGAUGAAGGUCUUCGGAUCGUAAAACUCUGUUAUUAGGGAAGAACAAAUGUGUAAGUAACUAUGCACGUCUUGACGGUACCUAAUCAGAAAGCCACGGCCAACUACGUG